UUAAAACAUCAUGAGAGAUUAAAUUCUCACCAACCUGCUGACUCCAGCAAGGUGGUAAAAAGAUGUGGUUAACCAACAACUAAAGGAGUUAAA
rnacentral:ncRNA from 1 species